GGUUGUGGCUCAGCAGUAGAGCACUUGCCUACUAUGUGAGAGGCACUGGGUUUGAUUCUCAGCACCA
rnacentral:tRNA from 1 species